rnacentral:rRNA from 1 species
GACGAACGCUGGCGGCGUGCUUAACACAUGCAAGUCGAACGGAAAGGCCCUGCUUUUGUGGGGUGCUCGAGUGGCGAACGGGUGAGUAACACGUGAGUAACCUGCCCUUGACUUUGGGACAACUUCAGGAAACUGGGGCUAAUACCGGAUAGGAGCUCCUGCUGCAUGGUGGGGGUUGGAAAGUUUCGGCGGUUGGGGAUGGACUCGCGGCUUAUCAGCUUGUUGGUGGGGUAGUGGCUUACCAAGGCUUUGACGGGUAGCCGGCCUGAGAGGGUGACCGGCCACAUUGGGACUGAGAUACGGCCCAGACUCCUACGGGAGGCAGCAGUGGGGAAUAUUGCACAAUGGGCGGAAGCCCGAUGCAGCAACGCCGCGUGCGGGAUGACGGCCUUCGGGUUGUAAACCGCUUUCGCCUGUGACGAAGCGUGAGUGACGGUAAUGGGUAAAGAAGCACCGGCUAACUACGUG